rnacentral:rRNA from 1 species
UACGAAGGGGGCUAGCGUUGCUCGGAAUCACUGGGCGUAAAGCGCACGUAGGCGGCUUUUUAAGUCAGGGGUGAAAUCCUGGAGCUCAACUCCAGAACUGCCUUUGAUACUGGGAAGCUUGAGUCCGGAAGAGGUGAGUGGAACUCCGGGUGUAGAGGUGAAAUUCGUAGAUAUUCGGAAGAACACCAGUGGCGAAGGCGGCUCACUGGUCCGGUACUGACGCUGAGGUGCGAAAGCGUGGGGAGCAAACAGG